AGAGUUUGAUCCUGGCUCAGGACGAACGCUGGCGGUGCGCCUUAUGCAUGCAAGUCGAGCGAAGCUUUUCAGUAGUUUACUACAGAAAAUGACUGAGCGGCGAACGGGUGAGUAACGCGUGAGCAAUCUACCUUAGUUACAGGGAUAGCCCGAGGAAACUCGGAUUAAUACCUGAUAUUCUUUAUUUCUCGCAUGAGAAUAAAAGGAAAGGUCAGCCGAACUAAGAUGAGCUCGCGUUCUAUCAGCUAGUUGGUGAGGUAAAAGCACACCAAGGCUACGACGGAUAGCUGGUCUGAGAGGACGAUCAGCCACACUGGGACUGAGACACGGCCCAGACUCCUACGGGAGGCUGCAGCAGGGAAUAUUGUGCAAUGAACGAAAGUUUGACACAGCGACACCGCGUGUGGGAUGACGGAUCUAGGUUUGUAAACCACUUUCAGGAGGGAAGAAAAUGACGGUACCUCCAUAAGAAGCCCCGGCCAACUACGUGCCAGCAGCCGCGGUAAUACGUAGGGGGCGAGCGUUGUCCGGAUUUAUUGGGCGUAAAGAGCUCGUAGGCGGUUCAACAAGUCGGUCGUGAAAGUUCAGGGCUCAACCCUGAAAUGUCGAUCGAUACUGUUGUGACUAGGAUACGGUAGAGGUGAGUGGAAUUCCGAGUGUAGCGGUGAAAUGCGUAGAUAUUCGGAGGAACACCAAUUGCGAAGGCAGCUCACUGGGCCGCUAUCGACGCUGAGGAGCGAAAGCUAGGGGAGCAAACAGGAUUAGAUACCCUGGUAGUCCUAGCUGUAAACGAUGGAUACUAGACGUACGAACUGGAUUGACGGUUUCUGUGUCGCAGCUAACGCGUUAAGUAUCCCGCCUGGGGAGUACGGUCGCAAGACUAAAACUCAAAGGAAUUGACGG
rnacentral:rRNA from 1 species